CAAGACUCGACAGCGACUCCUGGAGAAGAUAUUGCAGGCGCUUCAAACUUGGUAGCAUCAAUGCUUAUUCACCAAGGGAACUAAUGCUUAACACCGUGCAGCAGCGUUUUGGAUCACAGCCACCACUCAACGACGUACAGGUAAUUUCGGAAUUCAUCACUGCCGCUAAGAGACUGAAAACCGACGACUCACAAAGUGAGCAACUCUGAAUGUUCCUUCAACAUUGCAGUUGAUGCUUAUUUUAGUUCCAACUCUAACAU